UAUUGAUCAAUUGACUUUUUCGAAUGCUUGGGACUAUAUAAUAAUUAUUAAUAAGCAGAACAUUUAAUACAUGCAGCUACACGUUUGCUUGAAGAUACGACUUUUAUCUUCUCGUGUAAAAACAAUAUUAUUUUACUCACUUGCUGCGUGCGUUUGUAAAAUAUUGUUUUCACCACUCAAAGAUAAAACGUCAUAUAUAUAUGUUCACGCCGCCAUGUAAUAUCCUACAGGUCAGGGCCUCUUUUAAGGAUUUUCCGGGGGGGGGUGUCAUUUUUUGAAAAGGGACCUAUCUGUGAGAUAAUAUAUUACAGGGCGAUAGCAAUAGCUGAAGGCCAACAUGCCACGCAUGAAUGGGGGGGGGUACUCCCCCAGAAAAUUUUUGAAAUUUGAAGCACAGAAAUGCCAUUUCCUGCAUUCUGAGCAUCCAAAUUUGCUCCAAAAUUUAUGCUAACUAUACUUGUAUUUGAAAUAAAGGAAGGAAAAAACGCACAAAAAGUAAUUAACCAUAAUUUAUCAUUACUUAUUAGAGGGGAUACCAAUGGCCGAAGGCCACGUGUGUGGGGGCAUAAUCCCCAGAAAAGUUUUGAAAUAUGAAACCCGGAAGUACUAUUUCC
rnacentral:lncRNA from 1 species